GAUGAACGCUGGCGGCGUGCUUAACACAUGCAAGUCGAACGGAAAGGCCCAAGCUUGCUUGGGUACUCGAGUGGCGAACGGGUGAGUAACACGUGGGUGAUCUGCCCUGCACUUCGGGAUAAGCCUGGGAAACUGGGUCUAAUACCGGAUAGGACCACAUUUUGGAUGGUGUGGUGGAAAGUUUUUCGGUGUGGGAUGAGCUCGCGGCCUAUCAGCUUGUUGGUGGGGUAAUGGCCUACCAAGGCGUCGACGGGUAGCCGGCCUGGGAGGGUGUACGGCCACAAUGGGACUGAGAGACGGCCCAGACUCCUACGGGAGGAAGCAGGGGGGAAUAUUGCACAAGGGGCGCAAGCCUGAUGCAGCGACGCCGCGUGGGGGAUGACGGCCUUCGGGUUGGAAACUCCUUUCGCUAGGGACGAAGCGUUAUGUGACGGUACCUGGAGAAGAAGCACCGGCUAACUACGUG
rnacentral:rRNA from 1 species